GUUGGGUUAAGUCCCGCAACGAGCGCAACCCCUAUUGUUAGUUGCCAUCAUUCAGUUGGGCACUCUAGCGAGACUGCCGGUAAUAACCGGAGGAAGGUGGGGAUGACGUCAAAUCAUCAUGCCCCUUAUGACCUGGGCUACACACGUGCUACAAUGGUUGGUACAACGAGUUGCGAGUCGGUGACGGCGAGCUAAUCUCUUAAAGCCAAUCUCAGUUCGGAUUGUAGGCUGCAACUCGCCUACAUGAAGUCGGAAUCGCUAGUAAUCGCGGAUCAGCACGCCGCGGUGAAUACGGUUCCCGGGCCUU
rnacentral:rRNA from 1 species